rnacentral:ncRNA from 1 species
GAAAAAGCAUGAAGCAAGAAGAGUACUUUAUUUGGAAAGUAUAGAGAGCAAGCGGUUGGUGGAAGCUUGUCUGGAAAAAUAAAGGAAUGGGCCUUGCGCGUUCAAUCUUGAAAAUGAGUAGGGAUUGACGGUUUGUUACCGUUAGAAACAAGAGAUUAAGAAAUCAUUCUUAAACUAGAGGUGGUACCGCCUUUAA